rnacentral:rRNA from 1 species
GUAGGCAUAAGUAACGAUAAUGCAGGUGAGAAACCUGCACACCGAUAGACUAAGGUUUCCUGAUCAACGCUAAUCGGAUCAGGGUUAGUCGGGACCUAAGGCGAACCCGAAGGGGGUAGUCGAUGGACAAUUGGUUAAUAUUCCAAUACUACCAAUAUCAACGAUGGGGUGACGGAGUAGUGAAAGUCUCGCGUACUGACGGAAUAGUGCGUUG